rnacentral:lncRNA from 1 species
CUGAGCAUCUGUUCAUUUAUCUGAGUUCAGGUUCUGGUAAUGCUAGACCUGUUAAUUCCACAGAGACUCUGUUGUUUUGCUGUCUUUUCAGUGGCAACAUUUGGAGGUGUUUCAGUAAGGAGUCCCCCGCAGCUUGUAGCACAUCCGGCGCCCCAAGGAUACUACAAAAAGGGGAGUUAACAUGGCCGGCAUUCCCCAGGAAGCCCCCCACGGACAACAACCAGGGAAAAGCCUUGGGAAACUCUUGGGUGUGGAUGUAACCACAGAGCUGAGGACAACCAACCAGUAAAGACAGGUUUAUGGGAUUGACUUAUAGAGAGCUCAACAUUCCACUGAUCUAUACAUGGCAACUCAACAGUGGAGAAAUCAAACCUCCCUGCCUCAGACUGAGUGCCCAGGCACAGCACUGCUGAUACAGACUUACAUAACCCUGCAAUCGCAUGACUAGACCCCAUGUUUCCAUGGCUAAAAACCUUCUUGUUCUUUAAUAGCCUCUGUCUGAGUGAAGGUGACAUAAGCUUUAUCUGAUCCUUGGAAAAGACCCAGAAUGCUCUCGCUCUAGGACUGAAAGAGAGGCUAUUGUGGAUUAGAUGCUGAAAAUUAAUAAAUCUCCUGCAAAUUUUGACUUUUUUUUUUUA